UAGGGAAUCUUCGGCAAUGGACGAAAGUCUGACCGAGCAACGCCGCGUGAGUGAAGAAGGUUUUCGGAUCGUAAAACUCUGUUGUUAGAGAAGAACAAGGACGUUAGUAACUGAACGUCCCCUGACGGUAUCUAACCAGAAAGCCACGGCUAACUACGUGCCAGCAGCCGCGGUAAUACGUAGGUGGCAAGCGUUGUCCGGAUUUAUUGGGCGUAAAGCGAGCGCAGGCGGUUUCUUAAGUCUGAUGUGAAAGCCCCCGGCUCAACCGGGGAGGGUCAUUGGAACCGGGGAGACUUGAGUGCAGAAGAGGAGAGUGGAAUUCCAUGUGUAGCGGUGAAAUGCGUAGAUAUAUGGAGGAACACCAGUGGCGAAGGCGGCUCUCUGGUCUGUAACUGACGCUGAGGCUCGAAAGCGUGGGGAGCAAACAGG
rnacentral:rRNA from 1 species